rnacentral:piRNA from 1 species
UCCUACAGACGGUUUUAAUUCCCUUGUUU